UACGUAGGGGGCAAGCGUUGUCCGGAAUCACUGGGCAUAAAGGGCGCGUAGGCGGUUCCGAAAGUGGCAUGUGAAAUCCCCCGGCUCAACCGGGGAAGUGCGUGCCAAACUUCGGUGCUAGAGUGCGGUAGGGGGACUGGAACUCUCGGUGGAGCGGUGAAAUGCGUAGAUAUCGAGAGGAACACCGGUGGCGAAGGCGAGUCCCUGGUCCGCAACUGACGCUGAGGCGCGAAAGCGUGGGUAGCAAACAGG
rnacentral:rRNA from 1 species